ACGGGAGGCAGCAGUGGGGAAUAUUGCACAUGGGCGAAAGCCUGAUGCAGCGACGCCGCGUGAGCGAAGAAGUAUUUCGGUAUGUAAAGCUCUAUCAGCAGGGAAGAUAAUGACGGUACCUGACUAAGAAGCACCGGCUAAAUACGUGCCAGCAGCCGCGGUAAUACGUAUGGUGCAAGCGUUAUCCGGAUUUACUGGGUGUAAAGGGAGCGCAGGCGGUACGGCAAGUCUGAUGUGAAAGCCCGGGGCUCAACCCCGGUACUGCAUUGGAAACUGUCGAACUAGAGUGUCGGAGGGGUGAGUGGAAUUCCUAGUGUAGCGGUGAAAUGCGUAGAUAUUAGGAGGAACACCAGUGGCGAAGGCGGCUCACUGGACGACAACUGACGCUGAGGCUCGAAAGCGUGGGGAGCAAACAGGAUUAGAUACCCUGGUA
rnacentral:rRNA from 1 species